GUGAAUUUUCUUCCGUGGAUUCCGAUUUGCUCCGUCUGACCAGCCUAGGCAAUCCAGCAUCGCGUGGUACCAGUGCCGCUGGGCACACUCGCUUCACGCCGGCUCCGCCUCACCAGCAAGCGCAUUCCCAGAUAAAACACUAACUCAGAGAAGAAAUUUAACUGCAGAUUUGGUUAAUGACCUUGGAUUCCAAAUGAGAAGAAAACCUAGACACUGAGAGUUUAGAAUAAACUCAAGAAUCUUAAAAAUUUUCCCAUUGAACUGCCUUUGCACCUCUAUAAAAAAUUAAUUGACCAUAUGAGACAGGAUCUCACUCUGUUCAGGCUGGAGUGCCGUGGAGCAAUCAUAGCUGACUGCAGCCUCAAACUCCCGGACUCAAGCCUUCUUGCCUCAGCCUCCUGAAUAGCCGGGACUUCAGAAGGGCACUGCCAUGCCUGGCUAUUAAAAAAAAAAAGUAAAGAUGGAGUCUCACUUUGUUGCCCAGGCUGGCCUCGAACUCCUAGCUUUAAGUGAUCCUCCUGCCUCAGCCUCCCAGAAUGCUGGGAUUAUGAGCUGAGCCACCAUGCCCAGUCCAUUGACAUUUUUCAAUGAUUCUUUUCAACAAUUUUCUUUUUCAUAGUUGGUUUUCAGCAGUUCAAUUAUAAUGUGUUUGGAAGAUUUUUCUUAAGUUUAUUCUGCUUGGAACUUGCUGAGCUUCUUAGAUCUGUCCAUUUAUUUUCCAUCACCAAAUUUGUGAAAUUUUCAGCUGUUCUUUGCUCAAUAAUAACUUUUUUAUCACCAAGAUAUCUCUCUAAGUUUUUGACAUAUUCCUCAUUUGUUUUGAUAAAAGUUUUCUUAUUUUCUUAGAAAAAAUAAGUUACUAAAAGUCAUAUAUCAUUGUAUAUCUUCAAAAUAUUGCUUAAAACUAGGACUUGUAUUUAAAUGUUUUUUCUUCUUAAAGACAAUUUUAAUUUAUGAUUUUCUGAAUUCAGUCCAUAAAUUCAGAUCAUUCAAACUGUUAAGAUGUCUUUUAUGCUGACAUUAUUUUUAGAUUUCCUGGAAUUUCCACCAGGUAACACAAAAUUCUGCUCCUUUACCUCAUAAAGUAAAUAUAAUGGAGAUAAUUAGGUUUAUUUAGCAUUCUCCAGAUGUUUUUACGUCAAAAAUGAAGAGAGAUCUUUUAUUUUUUCAACUUAACAAAAAAUGGACAUAUCACAAAAGUUUAGACUUCCUAUCUUAAGUAACAAAACAUUUUAAUAUUAUACACAUUUUUAUGUUAAAAUAAGCAUGCUAUUGUUCAUGUACACAGACUGGUAUAAUAAUUGUUUAAAAUAUUUGAUAUCUAGGUUACUUGAUUCCAAUACUUACGUUAAUCAGGGCUGAUCAUAGUAUACUUUAUAGCACAAAUCAAAGGUCCCGGAGGUUUGUCAAUGUCUUCACUGUUCAUAAUGUGUUCUUACUCCCAGAGUUAUUAUUGACUAUAUCCUUAUACUUGUGUUGUGUAUUAUACCUAAAAGAGAAUUUUGCUUCGCUAUAUGUCCAGAGGAUUUAGAUUUCGAAAGAGACAUCACAGGAAAAAAAGUGUCCUUGAGGCUUGAUGAAAAUGAUAUUUUCAGAUCCUAUUAAUACAUAAUACAAAAGAAAAACUGUAAUGUGUGGACUCUAAGAUCUAUAUCUCUCAAUUAAAGAAAUAUAAUUCAUCCGUGAAUCACUGAAAGGAUGGUCUUAGCAGGACUUCAAGCUGAGGAUCCUUAGGAACUUAGGAAUUCUCCAAAAGCAUAGAUUUUGAGGGUGGAGACAGCUUCAAAUUAAGACCAUCAGAUCAUGGAAACAACUGUGAAUAGUAGACAACUUCCAUUCAAGAUCUAUGAAGAAGAUCCAGAUGACCAGAACCAGUGAUUCCCAUGCUUUAAUCUGCAAUAUGUCAUUCUUUAUUUACCUAGCUAUUUUCUCUCCUCUUUGUUAAAGUUUCUGAUUGCUAACAGAAAGUUAUUAUUUCUUAAACAUAAUAUCUGUAUGGUUCCCAUCCUUAAUAAUAUUUCGGCAUGUUUACAUACUUCUUGGCCUGAUUCCAAUACCUGCCAGCAGUUUUAUUGCAAUUUGGCUAAAGAAUACAAUCAAACUGACCUUUGGAUUUGUACUCAUUUUUAUCUGGGUGCCAUCCAGCUUUAUUUGAUACCUUUUCCUUGUUAUAAAUAAGUUGGUUUCCACCAAUCAACUUAUUUAGAUGACAAAAACCAUAACAGACCAGAGAGCCAAGAAACCUAAAGUCUCUGCUAUGUCAAACCUAUAAAUGAGGUGUUUCUUCUUCUGUAGGAAAAAAAUACACAGAAGAGCUAGCCUUUGCAAUCAACCCUUACAGAAAUAGAAUGUAGAAAAAGCCAGGGAACAGUUGGGGUAUAUUUAAAACAUUGCCUAACUUUUACAGACCUUGCAAGAAAGGUGCAUUAGUUAAGCUAAACCCCCAUCCCUGUCCAAUUUACAGAUUGCAGUCAAUAGUCUUUUGUGCUUCAAAUCCAAUACUAGUUGUGAGGGAUUACCCAAUGAUCUGCUUUCAGUGGAAAUGCUCAUAUGGUGAUGUCAGAUAGAAUUGGCCUAGCACUAGGUGAUAGACCUUAUGCCAGGCCAAUUCUAUUUGACAUCCCCGUAUGAGUAUUUGAAGCACAAAAGACUAUUGACUGCGAUCUGCGAUCUGUAAAUUGAACAGGGAUCUAUAAUGUGAGUAAACUGAGGUCUGCCUUCAGGAGAGUUCUUAGUAUCACCCCACCUCCAUUUUGACCUGCAGACUUCCCUUCUAAGAAAAAAAGACAUUUAGAUAAUUUAAUUCAAAAAUGCUGAACUUUGGUUUACAUUUUAAAAGCAACCCCUGAAAGAACAUUUCAGACUGCUUUCUUCUUCAUUUCACACUUUCCAUGAGACUUGACAAGUAGGCAGGAUUCUACAGACAAUGGUACAGAGAACAGCGAGAGAAUGGCAACAUUGCUACAGCUGUAGAACUUCUCACCUAAGAGGUUCACAGGUGUGGUGAUGGUUCAAAACAGAAGUCUUUCGAGGUAGGAUGUGUGCUGACUUAGGGAAAGAAUGCUGUACCUGCAUUAUUACAGACCUCUUUUGGAUCUUUAAUGUUGCUAAAAUUAUCUGGGUGGCAAACAUAAAAAUAGUGAAAUUAUGUAAUUUGGCUAAUACUCUCUAUCUGCUUGUGUGGCCUCUUCACAUUGGGGAUAAAAUGUUGUCACUCUUGGCUUCUGCCUUAAAAGUGACUACAAGUUCAUAUCAUAAUAUUUCUCAUAGAAAUUAUCUAUGUUGGGCCAGGCACGGUGGCUCACGCCUGUAUUCCCAGAACUUUGGGAGGCCGAGGCAGGAGGAUCAUGAGGUCAGGAGUUCAAGACCAGCCUGGCCAACAUAGUGAAACCCUGUCUCUACUAAAAACACAAAAAUUAGCCAGACAUGGUGGCACGUACCUGUAAUCCCAGCUACCGGGAGGCUGAGGCAGGAGAAUCGCUUGAACCUGGGAGGUGGAGUUUGCAGUGAGCCAAGAUUGUGCCACUACACUCCAGCUUGGGCAACAGAGUGAGACUUCAUCUCAAAAAAAAAAAAAAAAAAAAAAAAAAAGAAAGAAAUUAUAUAAAUUAUAUUGCCACUCUCAAAUGUGUGCUCUCCAGAGUCUUAAAUUCUGCUAUGCAGUAGUUGUUCCAUAAAAUGAUCCAAGCAUGAUCUUCCAACAAAAUGAACAAUUAAAAAAAUCUGUUAUUAAUAAUGGAUGGGGUGACUAUCAUCAGAAACCCUUCAUAUAACCACAACAUAUCAAACAGUGAUAUAAAUCUGGAUUGAUCAUGUCCCUAGUUGAUAAUCCUCUAUUCUGUAGCUUAGGCUGGAGAAAAAUGAAAAAGACUCCUGAGAACUGAAACCAACAUAGUUCCGAGGCCUUCUGUUAAACACUACUGGGACUGGGCAUAUUUUCCUAUUCUUAUGUGAAACCAUACUGAGGCAAGUAAAAAUAACGACUUCAUCUUACUCUAGGAAAUACUCAUCAUCAAGACAAUAAAACUGUGAACCAACUUAACAGCUUAUUUAGCAAGACUAACAAUUUGUUUUUCAAGACUCUCUUCAAGUACCUCAUCUUGCUGUGCUUAUCAAGCCAAAGUUACCAUAUCAUAAACUCUGCCCAACACCAAGUUACCUACUUUUCACGACUCAGCUUGAAAUAUCCCAUAUAAAUACCUAAAUACCUAUAAAUACCUAUAACUACCCCCUAUAAAUACCCCCAUUUUGAGAAGCUAUAAAUACUUUAUCAAAUCGGUGUCCUCUCUCACUACUGUAAGUCUAAUAAAUUCAGUCUUGGUUGAUCGA